rnacentral:rRNA from 1 species
UACGUAGGGUGCGAGCGUUGUCCGGAAUUAUUGGGCGUAAAGAGCUCGUAGGCGGUGUGUCGCGUCGGCCGUGAAAACCUGGGGCUCAACUCUGGGCGUGCGGUCGAUACGGGCAUCACUUGAGUUCGGCAGGGGAGACUGGAAUUCCUGGUGUAGCGGCGAAAUGCGCAGAUAUCAGGAGGAACACCGGUGGCGAAGGCGGGUCUCUGGGCCGAUACUGACGCUGAGGAGCGAAAGCGUGGGGAGCGAACAGG